rnacentral:rRNA from 1 species
UACUGCAUUUUUUCUUACACAUGUGUUUUUCUUUUUGAAAACUUUGCUUUGGUAGGCCUUCUAUAUGGGGCCUGCCAGAGAUUAAACUCAACCAAAUUUUAUUUAAUGUCAACCGAUUAUUUAAUAGUCAAAACUUUCAACAACGGAUCUCUUGGUUCUCGCAUCGAUGAAGAACGCAGCGAAAUGCGAUAAGUAAUAUGAAUUGCAGAUAUUCGUGAAUCAUCGAAUCUUUGAACGCACAUUGCGCCCUUUGGUAUUCCAAAGGGCAUGCCUGUUUGAGCGUCAUUUCUCCCUCAAACCCUCGGGUUUGGUGUUGAGCGAUACGCUGGGUUUGCUUGAAAGAAAGGCGGAGUAUAAACUAAUGGAUAGGUUUUUUCCACUCAUUGGUACAAACUCCAAAACUUCUUCCAAAUUCGACCUCAAAUCAGGUAGGACUACCCGCUGAACUUAAGCAUAUCAAUAGCGGGAGG